CGUGUAGGUGGUUCUGUAAGUCUGGCGUGAAAUUUUUCGGCUUAACCGGGAAAGGUCGUCGGAUACUGCAGGGCUAGAGGACGGUAGAGGCGUGUGGAAUUCCGGGUGUAGUGGUGAAAUGCGUAGAGAUCCGGAGGAACACCAGUGGCGAAGGCGACACGCUGGGCCGUACCUGACACUGAUGCGCGACAGCAUGGGGAGCAAACA
rnacentral:rRNA from 1 species